CGCCUUUAAAAUUUCCCGUGAAACAUUUCCCCUCAUUUUCAAAGUGCAAAGAUUUCCCUCCUAAAAUCGAGACAUCAGUUCAUUAGGUUUUCCUUUUUGCACACCUCCACCGUAAUCUCCAUAGACAUGCACUACCACCUCCUGUGCCGAAUUUCCCUCGACCCUAAAAUUUGCAGCGAUGUUUCUUUUUCUUUCUGAAAUGUGCUCUUAUAUAUGCCAAUAUUUGCUUCAAUGAAAUUCAACGAGAAAAAGAAAAUCUCAAUAGUAUCAAAGUUCAAACACAGGGUUCAUUCGGGUUUGUUUCAUAGUAUUAGUCUUAUGUUUAAACUUACUUGUGUUCAGAUCUUAAACAUUUCUAUACUAGCUUUGCAUAUUUGCAGAAUUUCUUUGGGAUUGACCAUUGCAUAUUAUCUGCUUGAUGGAAUGUUUGUCUGACCUAUCCUUACUGCUAAAAUCAUUUUGGUUUUGAAGCCAAUUAAUAAAGUGAAAUUUGUUGGAUAAAUAGUAAGAAUUUGAAAGAAUUAGUAGGAAGCAUAAAUUUAGUAUCAAAUAUGGAUGGAAAGAAAGAAAUAAUGAGUGUUUGAAAAGGAAGUGAAGCGUUAAGAAGGUAUCCUAUAUGCUUAUAUAUUUUCAUAACUUGUUGGUUUGUACGUACAAUACGAUUUCAGGUCCACCAUUGCUUCAUUCCAUAGUAAAACUUUUAUUACGUCCUUUUGUUGUCAAAUUACUUUCUUCAGUGCUUUGUAUAUUUUUGUUUUGCAUUUGAAGCAUUAUAGUGUUACUUUCCAAUUGUGGAGUUCAAAAUGUUAGUCCAAGUUUUCUACUUAAGUUUGACAUAAAGUUUUUGUAGCAUAAACGUAUAAAUGCUUAUGACUUGAUAGAAUACAUUGAGGCUUGGUAGUCGAAACUAAAAUGUUUUGCUAUUUAUAAGGUUUGAUAAUUAAAAGAUAUGCAAGAAGAUAUGGUAUUUUUCUUAUGAAGCUUUAUGCAUUAUUGAUAUAAAUAUGAGAUAGUGAUGAAUAUACUUUAAUUACAAUGGGAUUUGGUUUUCUCAAUUGUAAAAUGAGUUCAAUCACUUAGUUAUAUGACAGUUCUCUAGCCCAUAAGGGGGAGGGAUGACCUUCGCUUGUAUUUUUGGAGGAGAAUAACUUUUUACGUUUAUACAAUCUGGGCACAAAUUCUUGUUCUGACAUUCUAUUGUCUAGUAGUUUAUUCUUGUUCUCUCUCGCUACUUAUUAAUUGUAUAGCUUUUGAAGCUAAGACAGAGGCUCUAGUUUGAUAUUGAAUAAACUUGGCAAUAUCUGAGUUAGGUAGAUCAAUUUGGCAUAUCAAUUGACGCAUACUAUUUAUUUUCGAUGCUAGCACAGUAUUUAGUUCUGAUAUUAUUAAGACUUUCACUUUGUGAUUGGAAUAUCAGAUUCUAAAGAUAUUGUCCUACUUGUGACUGUAUUGUGUUUUGCAUCAAUUCAGUUCUUGCUUACUUUAGUUUAGGUUAUAAUACAUGUGGACACUGGAGUGAACAGAGGAUUCUUCAUGUUCUCAAAUAAGAUCAACAUAGAGCAAAAGUGAGGAAGGCAAAGAAAAAGGAUAAAGGUACUUCAGAGGAGGAUUAGUUGAUAGCGAAUAUAUAUCGACCAGGUAAUCAAACUUUGUGUGUGCCAUCUUUGGAAAGGAAAUGUUCUGCAGUAUAUUGAUUAGUUGAGCAUAAUACACAAUUUGUCGACUUUCUCCUUCAUUCUUUAUCUCUUGACAUAUGAAACUUGCAGAUUUCUAUUGUUGAUUUGGUCUCUAUUGUGUAUUGUCUCAACUUAAGAUCUUCCUUUGAGUUCAACUGAAGAGGUAAAUUUGGAUUUGUCUUCUUUGACUUACUAUCUUAUUUUCUGUUUGCUCGAAUGGGAAGUACACAAAUACAAAUCUUGUUGUUUGAGAAUAAAAUUUCAGAUAUCUUGAAAUGAGAUUUUUCCUGGUAACCCCAACAAUUAUGAAUUGAAAGAGGAUGCCAAGUGAAUAAAGGUAUUCACUUCCCAACAAGUAUAUCUAUUUCAAUCACUUUCAAUUAUACAACACAUUUUAAAUGCCCUCCAUUCUCUUUGUUUAGCUCAGCUUUUAUAUGAAUAGAGAUCUACAUGAUUAUCUUUGCUAUUAUAGGUAUUUAAAAUGUAGAGACUAAUAUUGCCUGAGGGUAAAAUUGAGUUAGCAUAUUGUCUGAUGGAUGUUUUUAAGUAUUGUCUCUGUACAAAUUGGAGGGUUGAUAGAAUAGAAGUUGUACCUACGCUUUUAAUUUCUUGCCAGAUUCUAAGAUAUCAAUGGUAGCUAAGUGAUUAUAGUCACUUGUAAGAGGUACUCACCUUUUGAAAAAGAAAUCCACUAAUCUAGUUUGUCCAUCAUUAUAUACCAAUUAAACGAAAGGAAGCAACAGAAUCAUACUACUCUAGAGAGAAUAUAACUAGAUGUAUGGAUGCUAAGAAAACAAAUGAGGAAGGCCAAUAAAGCAUGAUUUUUUUCCAUAUGUUCUGUUACUCAAAUCAUUCGAUUACAUUUUCAUCUCAGCACUGUAACAUGUAUAGAUUUCCUCUACUUUUGUCAUUUGUUUUAGUCGUGUAUAUGUAUAUCUCUUACUUAUAUGUGAUAGUAUUGUUCCGAGUUCCCAAGGGGCAAACUCUACCACAUUGCUCUGAGUUUGCACUUGCAUACUAUGGAUUUCUAUCUAAUUACUAAUUUUAUUUUAUAGGAAAGUUUUGUUGGGCAAUUAAAAAUAGUGCCAAAAGACUAUUUGAUCUAUUAGAAUUUAACGAUGAAGACUUUAGACAAUUACGAUUUUUGUAAUUCCUGAUACUACAAUAAUACAUUUGAUUUUGUAAAGUUACAAGCAUGAACCUUGAAAUAAUUUGCUUUGUUGUAUUACACAAGAUUUAAUCUUUUUUGAA